UCUGGCCUAGAACCGCCCUUUUCAUACUACUCAAGAGUAAACAUUCGAAAACAACCCCCCAAAAAAGUAUAAUCGUCCUGUUUAAAGUUUGCGAUAAAGAAUUGGAAAAUCAUUACGAUUUACUACUGAUCGACGGAUUGGAGGGGAAAAAACACUAUUGUUUAAUAUCUAAUUUUUCGCGAUUGGCACAUCAUCAAGUAACUAGACUAAGAUAACCAAAAUUGGGAUA